AUGGCCAUUUCAUGUUGAAACACCAUUUCCUGUAUGAUCACCGAAGUUAAGCAACAUUGAGCUUGGCUAAUACCUAGAUGGAUGACCAUCUGGGAAUACCAGGUACUGUAA